CACUGCUGGCCCAAGGAAGGCCUUGCCUCAUAAUCCUCAUGGUAGUUAGUCAUAAUUCUAGUGCACCCCAAACAUGUCAUUCUGUAAUCACAAAGUAGGUUUUGUUAUUAUUUGAAUAAGUCACCAAGUUGUUGUUUUUUUAGCACACACAUACAACUUUUUCCCCUUGUACAGAGCAGGGGUUAAGGUACACAUUCCUCAGACGAUGUCUAAUGGAAACCUUGACCCUACUUCACCAUUUAUGCCUUUGGCCAGUAUUUCCCUUGAAGACUUCUAGUUAGAGAUUUAACAAAACAAAUAAAAACUCCUUUGUUAACUUUCAUCUAAGAAUUAGAAAACACCAUUUAGCACGAUUUGGCACUGGAUUCCCAGGAUUUGAUGCAAUAUAUUUCAGUGUUUCUGUUGCUGAUCUCACAUGUGCCACUGCCUUUUCCAAGCUUUGCUCCAUGCCAAGUCAUCACAUGGAAGACCCAACUGGCUAUAUGUGUCCUGCCAGGGAGUUCUGGCAGAGAUUUGCAUGCUGAAGGAUAUGGAAUUAGUUUAGUACCAGAUGAGAAUACAGAAACAGAGACGUUAAGUACCUUGACCCAGGUCACACCACUAGGAAGUGGCAGAAAUAGGAUCCAAAUUCAGGCAGCCUGGCUCCAGAGUUCUUGUACGGGGGAUCGAACUCAGGACAUUGCACUUGCAAGAUAGGCGCAGCACCACUGAGCUAAAUCUGAUCCUGGGCCCCCUGUUUUUCAAUUUUUUGGAGUAUAUGUAUACCCAGAUGUGGGGUUGCUGAACAAGCAGAUUUCAAUGGAAACAGAAACUAGGCCACUUCAAAGUCCCCUGGCUCCUGAUUCUUCUUGUUGCCUCUGGGGCAACUCCCGGGAGAUUUACAAAACAGCAGCAGCAAACCGAGACCAUCAGUCUGAGUUGGAAGGGUCUUCAGAAGCCAUCAAGUCCUCAGCCCCCACUUAUGGAUGAAGAAUUUGUACUGAAUCCAGUCAUGCCACAAGCCAGUUCCUUCAUCCUGGUCAUGAAGCCUGGGCCUGGGGCACAGCUACUUCACUUAUCCUCUUGGAGACAAAGGAAAAUGGAACAGUUCAUCUGGAGAAGGAGGUGGAGGGGAGAUUUUCUGCUGGGUAUCUCUGGGGGCUUCCCCUCAGGAUGGCCCAGGGGACUUCAAGAGGCACCACACAGACUCAUUAAAUCCAAAGUGACAGGCAAAAUAAAGCAUUCAAGGUACAGCUGAUUAAGUCAUAGAGUUUAGCCACAGUCCACCAGGGAUUUCCUCCAUCCCAGCAUAAAGCUCUGUCCAGCAAACAGCCUGCUGAUUCUGGCUUGGCAACAUCCAUGAGAGGGCUGGAGGUGGACACAGCAGCCAUUUGGCAAUCUUUCUGCCUGGCCACAGGAGCCUGGUGAUCACUCUCUCUGCCUCCCUUGAAGCCGAGGUCCUGCCACGUGACCAGUCAAAGGCUAGGGUGAAAGAGAAGCAGAAGCAGACAGGUCCAUGUCAAAGGAGGGGGACAUAGCUGCAUCGAAUGUCCACACAGGGACUCCCCAGGCUGCUCUUUGCUCCCAGCAACAUUAGCAGUGGUGGCUCCCUCAGACUCGAGUCCCUUCGGGCUUGUUCCUGGCUGUGUAGACUUCAAGCCAGUUCCUGCAGCCUUCCUGGAGACUGAGUUACCUUGUG
ensembl:lncRNA